rnacentral:lncRNA from 1 species
UCCUCUUUAAACAUGAGCACUGGACGACCUGGCCACAGUGGGCCUAUAUACUCCAGCAUUUUGUGCACCCUGAUUGGACUUCUCUUUGAUUAACCUUUCUUUUUCUUUUUCUGUGUGUGUGUGUGUCUAAUCUAAUUCCUUACAGCUGCAAUAUAUUCUGUUUUUCCUUGCAGUUCAGCUGCUAUAAAGAGACAGUGCCCGGCCACCCAUACAGCAUUCCAUUGUGGCAGACAAUGGACUGGUGAAAUGCAACGUAGACAGUCUGAGGACCCUGUGCAAUGGAAACUCCAAUUGAAAUUGUACAUAGUCACUAACAUUCUACCUAUUCAAGGGGGCUGAAGACAGAGUCUAAGAAAAAGCUCUGGCCUUCCAUCUGCCUCUGUUUUGUUUUGUUUCUCAGACUCUUUAGAUGGAUGAGGGUGGCCUGUUUAUUGACUUCACCUGAGCUUCCAAUGGCUAGCUUGGCAUUAUUCUAGAAACCUGGCUUCACUAAAAUAAAUAAUAAUGCAGCAAGCCACACAAAAGGAAUCUCUUUCUUCUUCUGCCCACAGAUUCCUUUCUCAAAAGCCAUUCUAAGAAAUAAUCCAAUUCUGUCUCAAAUAUAAGGGCUUUCAUUCUCAGUCCAUUAUACUGUUUAUCUUGGGAAUUUCUUUCCAGUUUUAGGUUUUUGUUUUUUUUUUUCUACCCAAAGUUAAGCACAUGGCUUGCACUGUGAGGAAGAUUGUACUAGUGGUAGGAAAUAGACCACCAUCUUGGUAUUGUGAUCAAGCCACAUGGGUUCUGGGCCCCGCGCUUUGUAAGCAUACUUGGCAGAGGAAAAUAUAUUUGUACUAAGAGGCAAAUUAUCCACAGUCAAAAUGACUAAUCAUUGUUUAACUUAAAUGUGAAAGAUAAUGGAGAGAGGAAUGUAGCAUUUGUAAGGAACUGAAAGACUGAAUAAUGUAUUAGCAGGUGAGGUGUGGGCCUGUGAGUAUGGACAUAUACCCAUGGUAUGUUUGUGUGUGGGGUUUAUGUAAAACAUAGAAAGACAUAUCUACUUCUGCAAAAAUAAAUCAAGAAAAUAUGCUAUCUACUGCUACACUAGCAUCACUACAGCACCACUAUUAGCUGCUUUAACAAACAACCCAGGCAAGCUCAGUUUUUCUUAAUUCCUUUAAAAAUGUUUUAUAUAUUUGAAAUAUCAUAUAAUGGUAUUUUGCUGACAAAUCAUAGAAUCAAAUGGCAAAAUUUUUAAACACAGAUAAAAAAUUAAAACCAUGGUGCAACACAUAACACUAUAAAAUCUCUACUUCUGACUACUUCACAAUUUAAAGUGGUGGUUUGUUAUGCGAAUAAAACCUAUUUUGAAUUUGCCCUAUGAAAAAUGACACAGAGAUCAAUAGUAAACUUUUUGGUGCUU